rnacentral:rRNA from 1 species
CCUAUGGGGGGCAGCAGUGAGGAAUAUUGGUCAAUGGGCGGAAGCCUGAACCAGCCAAGUCGCGUGAGGGAUUAAGGCCCUGCGGGUCGUAAACCUCUUUUGCCGGGGAGCAGUGGUCCGGACGCGUCCGGACCGGGAGAGUACCCGGAGAAAAAGCAUCGGCUAACUCCGUGCCAGCAGCCGCGGUAAUACGGAGGAUGCGAGCGUUAUCCGGAUUUAUUGGGUUUAAAGGGUGCGCAGGCGGAAUGUCAAGUCAGCGGUAAAAUUUCGGGGCUCAACCCCGUCGUGCCGUUGAAACUGGCGUUCUUGAGUGAGCGAGAAGUAUGCGGAAUGCGUGGUGUAGCGGUGAAAUGCAUAGAUAUCACGCAGAACUCCGAUUGCGAAGGCAGCAUACCGGCGCUCAACUGACGCUCAUGCACGAAAGCGUGGGUAUCGAACAGGAUUAGAUACCCCUGUAGUC